rnacentral:rRNA from 1 species
CCGUGAGGGAAGGGUGAAAAGUACCCCGGGAGGGGAGUGAAAGAGUUCCUGAAACCGGUCGCAUGCAAGCCGUCAGAGCCUGUGUGGUGAUGGCGUGCCUUUUGAAGAAUGAGCCUGCGAGUUAGUGAUGCGUGGCGAGGUUAACCCGUGGUGGGGGAGUCGUAGCGAAAGCGAGUCCGAUAAGGGCGUGAGUCGCGUGUUCUAGACCCGAAGCGGUGUGAUCUAUCCAUGGCCAGGAUGAAGCGUCGGUAAGACGUCGUGGAGGUCCGAACCCACUUCAGUUAAAAAUGGAGGGGAUGAGUUGUGGAUAGGGGUGAAAGGCCAAU